CGUAGGGUGCGAGCGUUAAUCGGAAUUACUGGGCGUAAAGUGUGCGCAGGCGGCUCCGCAAGUCGAGUGUGAAAUCCCCGAGCUUAACUUGGGAAUUGCGCUCGAAACUACGGAACUGGAGUGUGGCAGAGGAAGGUGGAAUUCCACGUGUAGCGGUGAAAUGCGUAGAGAUGUGGAGGAACACCGAUGGCGAAGGCAGCCUUCUGGGCCAACACUGACGCUCAUGCACGAAAGCGUGGGGAGCAAACAGGAUUAGAUACCCUGGUAGUCCACGCCCUAAACGAUGAUGACUAGUUGCUGGAGGAGUUAAAUCCUUUAGUAACGCAGCUAACGCGUGAAGUCAUCCGCCUGGGGAGUACGGUCGCAAGAUUA
rnacentral:rRNA from 1 species